AAAUCCUGAAGGCUCUGACCUCUUCACAUGCCCUUUUCUUUUUUUCCAGAGCCUUCUCAAAUCUACUAUCUCUAUCAACAAAAUAUCUACCACCAUAUCUUUAUCACCAAAUCUCUAUCAGCACAAGCUAUAAUCUCUAUUAGCAAAUCAACAAGCUAUAUAUCAAAAAUAAAAAUAAAUCUAUCUGUAUCUCAGACCGUUGCUGCAAUUUUCAGGUCACCUUAGCUUGAAAACUGGGAUGACAAGAAAGAACCGAUUUUAUAGGAAACGAAGAAUCUUGGAUAGACAAAGAGGAUUCAUGCCAAGUUGUUGUGGCCUGCCCUCACAUAUGAGGUCUUACAAAGACUAAUGAUCCAAGAAGAUUGGAACUUUUCUUCUCUGCCUUUUGGAGACAGAUUCCAUGCAACAUUUUAGAAGUUCUACAAAUUUUUAGCUCCAUGUAUUUGCAGCUAAAUUGAGUAUUUGAUAGCGUACAUGGUUUAUAACCUUUUCCCUGUUGUUGGCUUUAUAUACCACAUGACUUUCGUUGACUUAAAUUUUCUAUUUACUAUGUACGCUGUGAAAAUAUCUCUUAGCCUGGCAAGAGAGAAAACUGCUAAUUGCUAAAAAGUAACUUAUGAGUUUCUAAUUUUGUAACCUAGAAACUCAGAAGUACAAAGCUUAUGAAUAAUUAUAAUUAUCCUUUUAAUAUAAGAAUAAAUAAGGAAGUCGGAUAGAUUCUAGGCUAAAGUCUAGGCUAAAUAGGGUAAGUUAUGACCUUGGAAGUUAACGUCUCCUUAGAAAACCCUUUGUUAUUAUGUAGAUUGGACAAAAUAAGAUUAUCUUUCUAUAAUGUUGUUAUUCUGAGGUAAUAAUGAAUUGGAUUAUUAUACUCUUUGUAAUUUUUCAUAUAUUAGGCUAAAAGGAUUUGCUUUUGUAUUAGGGUACCUCAGCCACUGUCAAGCAAGAUGCGUUCACAUCAUUUCAUGUCUUUGAGCUCUGCUCACGAUGACAAUCCCUUGAAAGCUCUAUCUACCACAGAUGUACUUACUGGUUAAGAACAUGGUUAAAUCCAGGUUUCUUUUUAAAUGAGUUGUAAUGACUCUCUUCCAUAUGGGAAGAGAAAAUUAUAUCACUGCGGUCGACAUGGAACUUGCUCUACCUUGACACCUUAUUAUCCACGACAUAAUGUGCAUGCAAUGCAUCUACACAGAAUGUUAAGAUGUUCCAUUUUAACAUCAGCAGCUCCUGUUAUAAGAUUCAUUAUGGUGGUACUGGCCAUAAAUCUACAGUUGCUACAAUGAAACAAAAUCUUCUUUGCGAGAUCCCUGUUACAUCUUCUCAUUCAGGUCUUGGUUUAAUUCCGAAGGUGUUGCAGCUCCUGUUCAACUGAUCAUCUUUUAAUGCGAGACAAUCAUUGUUUAUGAUAAAGUUUCACAGAACUCAGUCUGAGGAUCUACCUGUUUAUUGCUUGUGGCCUGUGGGAGGCUUGGUUCGGCUGGGCCUGUGGGUAUGGUAUUUUGUCCGAAAUGCAACAGACGCUACCGCUAAACUGGAUUGGUAGCAGAGAAAUUUUAGAAACCACACCUGGAAACCAAAGCCAAAGUCUGGGUUGAAAUUGAAGAUGAUUUGGACUGGUAGAAGAUAAAUCUACUUCAGGCUUUGCAGAUUCAUCCAUUUACUUACAAUAUUACUAGAAUGAUUGUACGUAAUGUGUUAGUGUUGUCUUCUUUCAUAACUAUAUAAUUGGGAGUUAAUUGACAUGAGUUUCCAGAACCUGUUAAUGAAAGUUACGUUGUUGCUUGGA